CGUAUUUGGAAUUUCAUGAUGACUCCGUUAGAAUCUUUUUUUUCUUCGAUGGACGUGGGAAAAUCUUCGAUCCUCCCUAGCCUUAGAUCUUUUGCAAGUUAUCACUUAUAAUCCCUUUUGGAAAGACUCUAUCGAGUUCACUUCAAAAUAAAUUUAUUCUAAUGAUUUUCAUGCUUUGAAUUUUAUAUAUUCAUUUUCCAUGGCUCGUAAGAAGUAGACUCCUCCAUUGAUCCUGACCAACUCGUGGGCUUUUAAUUGGGUUGAAAAGGAGAUGUCCGAGCAACUUGUUGUUGAUAUGAUACUAUUGUGGAUGUCGGCAAUCUUCUUGUAAUCAAGGAUAAAGUCAUUCACAGUUUGUACCUUUGCAUUAUUUCGAACAAAUGUGCUCACGUCUAAACACUUCUUCAUGUAAUUAUUAAGGUAGGUGCGUACCGACACUCUCAAGUUUGCCCUAAUCCCCACUUCUUCAUGUCCGUGUUUGGAUUCUAUUAAGUUUUUUCAAAAACUUGUUUAAAGCGGGAUCUUUCCAUCAAAGUGAGAGUUGGGAAUACACCAAGUUUUAAGGUGUUCUAACAACAUUUUCUAAAGAGUUCUCCUUUCAAUACUUCUCACAUUAGUUGAAAUUAUAUGAUUGAAACUAAAUUGGAGGUGAAACUCCUAAUUUUAAAAGAGAGUGUUGAUAUGAGUUUUGCCUGCAUUUUUGGAACACUUUACCUCUUUCAUUCGCGCGUUCAGACGUUCCUUGACCCGCAUUCUCACUUUCAUGCUCGUGCUUCCGACGGUUCUCGCUCGCACUCUCUUCGCGCUCGUUCUAGGGUCCUCACUCUCCAAUCUGAACCCUUCUUCUUCCUCUCCCAAGUCGACGAAGCUCAUUGUAGGUCUUCGUUCAAGCUCGUUGCAGCUCGAAGUCCUGAUGUCGGAGUAUCAAACCAGUCCAGAUUAACCCAAGUUUGCCAGUUGCCAGGAACAAGUUGCAGAAAAUAGGGCCCAUGACAACCAAUGAGAAGGAGUUGAUUGAUUUAGGGGCUGUAGCGCUUAUGGUUCAGGGAUUUUACCUCUAGUGUGCAAUCCAGCAUAUUUAACAUGCUAUAAUUUAUGAAGAAACAGAUAAGAAUACACUCACACAAGUUUGAGCAAUUCUGUAUUAAUAUCACGAGUGAAAAGCUGCAGCAGCACUUCAACCAGUUAUGAGAGUACGCUCUGCUAUGUACAACAACAGUGGAACGGAGAUAUACAUCCAUGUCUGAAAUUAGAAGGGGGGAAAUUUCUUCAACUUUAUCAAGGUGGUGUACUUUAGGCAACAUUCACUUUUCUCAUGCUUAUGUAGAUUGUAGUUAAAAUUCUUACUGUUUUA